GACGAACGCUGGCGGCGUGCUUAACACAUGCAAGUCGAACGGAAAGGCCCUUCGGGGUACUCGAGUGGCGAACGGGUGAGUAACACGUGGGUGAUCUGCCCUGCACUUUGGGAUAAGCCUGGGAAACUGGGUCUAAUACCCAAUAGGACCACGCGCUUCAUGGUGUGUGGUGGCAAGCUUUUGCGGUGUGGGAUGGGCCCGCGGCCUAUCAGCUUGUUGGUGGGGUAAUGGCCUACCAAGGCGACGACGGGUAGCCGGCCUGAGAGGGUGACCGGCCACACUGGGACUGAGAUACGGCCCAGACUCCUACGGGAGGCAGCAGUGGGGAAUAUUGCACAAUGGGCGCAAGCCUGAUGCAGCGACGCCGCGUGAGGGAUGACGGCCUUCGGGUUGUAAACCUCUUUCAAUAGGGACGAAGCGCAAGUGACGGUACCUAUAGAAGAAGCACCGGCCAACUACGUG
rnacentral:rRNA from 1 species